AUUGAACGCUAGCGGGAUGCCUUACACAUGCAAGUCGAACGGAGUGGCGAACGGGUGAGUAAUGUAUCGGAACGUGCCCAGUAGCGGGGGAUAACUACGCGAAAGCGUAGCUAAUACCGCAUACUAUUGGAGCGGCAGAUAUCGGAUAAGCUAGUGGGUGGGGUAACGGCUCACCAAGGCGACGAGCCCUAGCUGGUUUGAGAGGAUGACCAGCCAAACUGGUACUGAGACACGGCCCAGACUCCUACGUGAGGCAUCAGUGGGGAAUCUUGCACAAUGGGCGAAACCCUGCUCCAGCCAUCCCGCGUGUUCGAUGAAGGCCUUCGGGUUGUAAAGCACUUUUUGUAGGAAAUCGGUACCUGCAGAAUAAGCACCGGCUAACUACGUGCCAGCAGCCGCGGUAAUUC
rnacentral:rRNA from 1 species